UACGUAGGGGGCAAGCGUUGUCCGGAUUUAUUGGGCGUAAAGAGCUCGUAGGCGGUUGGGCAAGUCACGUGUGAAAUCUCCACGCUCAACGUGGAGGCGCCACGUGAGACUGCCCUGACUCGAGUCCGGUAGGGGAGCGUGGAAUUCCCGGUGUAGCGGUGAAAUGCGCAGAGAUCAGGAAGAACACCGGUGGCGAAAGCGCUCUGCUAGGCCGCAACUGACACUGAGGGACGAAAGCGUGGGGAGCAAACAGG
rnacentral:rRNA from 1 species